GAUGAACGCUGGCGGCGUGCCUAAUACAUGCAAGUCGAGCGAACGGACGAGAAGCUUGCUUCUCUGAUGUUAGCGGCGGACGGGUGAGUAACACGUGGAUAACCUACCUAUAAGACUGGGAUAACUUCGGGAAACCGGAGCUAAUACCGGAUGAUAUUUUGAACCGCAUGGUUCAAAAGUGAAAGACGGUCUUGCUGUCACUUAUAGAUGGAUCCGCGCUGCAUUAGCUAGUUGGUAAGGUAACGGCUUACCAAGGCAACGAUGCAUAGCCGACCUGAGAGGGUGAUCGGCCACACUGGAACUGAGACACGGUCCAUACUCCUACGGGAGGCAGCAGUAGGGAAUCUUCCGCAAAGGGCGAAAGCCUGACGGAGCAACGCCGCGUGAGUGAUGAAGGUCUUCGGAUCGUAAAACUCUGUUAUUAGGGAAGAACAUAUGUGUAAGUAACUGUGCACAUCUUGACGGUACCUAAUCAGAAAGCCACGGCUAACUACGUG
rnacentral:rRNA from 1 species